rnacentral:rRNA from 1 species
UACGUAGGGUGCAAGCGUUGUCCGGAAUUAUUGGGCGUAAAGAGCUCGUAGGCGGUUUGUUGCGUCGGCUGUGAAAUCCCGAGGCUCAACCUCGGGUCUGCAGUCGAUACGAGCAAACUAGAGUGUCGCAGGGGAGACUGGAAUUCCUGGUGUAGCGGUGAAAUGCGCAGAUAUCAGGAGGAACACCGGUGGCGAAGGCGGGUCUCUGGGCCGAUACUGACGCUGAGGAGCGAAAGCGUGGGGAGCGAACAGG